UACGAAGGGGGCUAGCGUUGCUCGGAAUCACUGGGCGUAAAGGGCGCGUAGGCGGCCAAGUAAGUUGGGGGUGGAAGCCCGUGGCUCAACCACGGAAUUGCCUUCGAUACUGCUUGGCUUGAGACCGGAAGAGGUGAGUGGAACUGCGAGUGUAAGAGGUGAAAUUCGUAGAUAUUCGCAAGAACACCAGUGGCGAAGGCGGCUCCACUGGCCCGGUACUGACGCUGAGGUGACGAAAGGCGUGGGGAGCAAACAGG
rnacentral:rRNA from 1 species